AAUGAACGCUGGCGGCAGGCCUAACACAUGCAAGUCGAGCGGAUGAAGGGAGCUUGCUCCUGGAUUCAGCGGCGGAGGGGUGAGUAAUGCCUAGGAAUCUGCCUUGUAGUGGGGGAUAACGUCCGGAAACGGGCGCUAAUACCGCAUACGUCCUGAUGGAGAAAGUGGGGGAUCUUCGGACCUCACGCUAUCAGAUGAGCCUAGGUCGGAUUAGCUAGUUGGUGGGGUAAAGGCCUACAAAGGCGACGAUCCGUAACUGGUCUGAGAGGAUGAUCAGUCACACUGGAACUGAGACACGGUCCAGACUCCUACGGGAGGCAGCAGUGGGGAAUAUUGGACAAUGGGCGAAUGCCUGAUACAGCCAUGCCGCGUGUGUGAAGAAGCUCUUCGGAUUGUAAAGCACUUUAAGUUGGGAGGAAGGGCAGUAAGUUAAUACCUUGCUGUUUUGACGUUACCAACAGAAUAAGCUCCGGCUAACUUCGUG
rnacentral:rRNA from 1 species